GCUGUCGCUAUGGGAUGGCCCGCGGUGCAUUAGCUAGUUGGUAAGGGUAAAGGACGUUACCAAGGCGAUGAUGCAUAGCCCGAGUUGAGAGACUGAUCGGGCCACAUUGGGGACUGAGACACGGGGCCCAAACUCCUACGGGGGGAGGGGCAGCAGUAGGGGGAAUCUUCCACAAUGGACGCAAGUCUGAUGGAGCAACGCCGCGUGAGUGAAGAAGGUUUCGGAUCGUAAAGCUCUGUUGUUGGUGAAGAAGGAUAGAGGUAGUAACUGGUCCUUUAUUUGACGGUAAUCAACCAGAAAGUCACGGCUAACUACGUGCCAGCAGCCGCGGUAAU
rnacentral:rRNA from 1 species